rnacentral:lncRNA from 1 species
CUGCGUUCUAAGUGGGAUUGUAGGUCAUGUGUGCCGUGACGUGCGCGGUGAGAAGUGCGUGUGAUUGAGUUCACACUUUGUAUCAUGGAUAGUUCAUCAGUAUGCAGCAGUCUCAUUGCAUGGCUGGAGACAUUUCCAGGCGUAUCAAACGUGACGGUUGCGGGACUUGCUGAUGGAGUCGUCAUUGGUCGGGUCCUCAAUUUGGUGGACUCGACCCACUUCAACAGCGCCUGGGUGUCCCGCCUCAAACCUGACUGUGGCGACAACUGGCGA